UGGGGAAUAUUGCACAAUGGGCGCAAGCCUGAUGCAGCCAUGCCGCGUGUGUGAAGAAGGCCUUCGGGUUGUAAAGCACUUUCAGCGGGGAGGAAGGCGUUAAGGUUAAUAACCUUGGCGAUUGACGUUACCCGCAGAAGAAGCACCGGCUAACUCCGUGCCAGCAGCCGCGGUAAUACGGAGGGUGCAAGCGUUAAUCGGAAUUACUGGGCGUAAAGCGCACGCAGGCGGUUUGUUAAGUCAGAUGUGAAAUCCCCGGGCUCAACCUGGGAACUGCAUCUGAUACUGGCAAGCUUGAGUCUCGUAGAGGGGGGUAGAAUUCCAGGUGGAGCGGUGAAAUGCGUAGAGAUCUGGAGGAAUACCGGUGGCGAAGGCGGCCCCCUGGACGAAGACUGACGCUCAGGUGCGAAAGCGUGGGGAGCAAACAGG
rnacentral:rRNA from 1 species